rnacentral:rRNA from 1 species
GAUGAACGCUGGCGGCAGGCCUAACACAUGCAAGUCGAGCGGAUCCUUCGGGAUUAGCGGCGGACGGGUGAGUAACGCGUGGGAAUAUGCCCUUCUCUACGGAAUAGCCUCGGGAAACUGGGAGUAAUACCGUAUACGCCCUACGGGGGCAAGAUUUAUCGGAGAAGGGUUAGCCCGCGUUGGAUUAGGUAGUUGGGGGGGUAAUGGCCUACCAAGCCUACGAUCCAUAGCUGGUUUGAGAGGAUGAUCAGCCACACUGGGACUGAGACACGGCCCAGACUCCUACGGGAGGCAGCAGUGGGGAAUCUUAGACAAUGGGGGAAACCCUGAUCUAGCCAUGCCGCGUGAGUGAUGAAGGCCUUAGGGUUGUAAAGCUCUUUCAGCUGGGAAGAUAAUGACGGUACCAGCAGAAGAAGCCCCGGCUAACUCCGUGCCAGCCGCCGCGGUAA